rnacentral:rRNA from 1 species
UACGUAGGACCCGAGCGUUGUCCGGAAUUACUGGGUGUAAAGGGCGUGUAGGUGGGCCUCUCAGUCGGUGGUGAAAUCCUGCGGCUUAACCGCAGAACUGCCGCCGAUACUGGAGGUCUUGAGUACGGCAGAGGGAGAUGGAAUUCAUGGUGUAGCGGUGAAAUGUGUAGAUAUCAUGAAGAACACCGGUUGCGAAGGCGGUCUCCUGGUCCGUUACUGACACUGAGGCGCGAAAGCGUGGGGAGCAAACAGG